AAAAACUAAUCAGGAAUAACACGAUGUUUUGAUUUAUAUCAAUAAUAUAAAUCAAAACAUAAAGUUAUUCCUGAUUAAUUUUUAGAACUAUUUUAAUAUUAAAGGCGUUAAGAACCUUUGGUGACCCCACAGUUUAAAUUCUAUAAUAAGUAAGUAGUGAGCAGUUGUCGUUGCAGACACACGUUCACCUAAUCUGCCCCAGUCAAUGGGAU
rnacentral:lncRNA from 1 species